rnacentral:rRNA from 1 species
ACGCUGGCGGCGUGCUUAACACAUGCAAGUCGAACGGAAAGGCCCUGCUUUUGUGGGGUGCUCGAGUGGCGAACGGGUGAGUAACACGUGAGUAACCUGCCCUUGACUUUGGGAUAAUUUCAGGAAACUGGGGCUAAUACCGGAUAGGAGCUCCUGCUGCAUGGUGGGGGUUGGAAAGUUUCGGCGGUUGGGGAUGGACUCGCGGCUUAUCAGCUUGUUGGUGGGGUAGUGGCUUACCAAGGCUUUGACGGGUAGCCGGCCUGAGAGGGUGACCGGCCACAUUGGGACUGAGAUACGGCCCAGACUCCUACGGGAGGCAGCAGUGGGGAAUAUUGCACAAUGGGCGGAAGCCUGAUGCAGCAACGCCGCGUGCGGGAUGACGGCCUUCGGGUUGUAAACCGCUUUCGCCUGUGACGAAGCGUGAGUGACGGUAAUGGGUAAAGAAGCACCGGCUAACUACGUGCCAGCAGCCGCGGUGAUACGUAGGGUGCGAGCGUUGUCCGGGUUUAUUGGGCGUAAAGGGCUCGUAGGUGGUUGAUCGCGUCGGAAGUGUAAUCUUGGGGCUUAACCCUGAGCGUGCUUUCGAUACGGGUUGACUUGAGGAAGGUAGGGGAGAAUGGAAUUCCUGGUGGAGCGGUGGAAUGCGCAGAUAUCAGGAGGAACACCAGUGGCGAAGGCGGUUCUCUGGGCCUUUCCUGACGCUGAGGAGCGAAAGCGUGGGGAGCGAACAGGCUUAGAUACCCUGGUAGUCCACGCUGUAAACGGUGGGUACUAGGUGUGGGGUCCAUUCCACGGGUUCCGUGCCGUAGCUAACGCUUUAAGUACCCCGCCUGGGGAGUACGGCCGCAAGGCUAAAACUCAAAGGAAUUGACGGGGCCCCGCACAAGCGGCGGAGCAUGCGGAUUAAUUCGAUGCAACGCGUAGAACCUUACCUGGGUUUGACAUGGAUCGGGAGUGCUCAGAGAUGGGUGUGCCUCUUUUGGGGUCGGUUCACAGGUGGUGCAUGGCUGUCGUCAGCUCGUGUCGUGAGAUGUUGGGUUAAGUCCCGCAACGAGCGCAACCCUUGUUCACUGUUGCCAGCACGUUAUGGUGGGGACUCAGUGGAGACCGCCGGGGUCAACUCGGAGGAAGGUGGGGAUGACGUCAAGUCAUCAUGCCCCUUAUGUCCAGGGCUUCACGCAUGCUACAAUGGCUGGUACAGAGAGUGGCGAGCCUGUGAGGGUGAGCGAAUCUCGGAAAGCCGGUCUCAGUUCGGAUUGGGGUCUGCAACUCGACCUCAUGAAGUCGGAGUCGCUAGUAAUCGCAGAUCAGCAACGCUGCGGUGAAUACGUUCCCGGG